GAUGAACGCUGGCGGCGUGCCUAACACAUGCAAGUCGAACGGAGCUGUCGGAGCUUGCUUUGACAGCUUAGUGGCGAACGGGUGAGUAACGCGUGAGCAACCUGCCCUUGAGAGGGGGAUAACAUCGGGAAACCGAUGCUAAUACCGCAUAAAAUAUGCAGAUGGCAUCAUUGGCAUAUCAAAGGAGAAAUCCGCUCAAGGAUGGGCUCGCGUCUGAUUAGAUAGUUGGUGAGGUAACGGCCCACCAAGUCGACGAUCAGUAGCCGGACUGAGAGGUUGACCGGCCACAUUGGGACUGAGACACGGCCCAGACUCCUACGGGAGGCAGCAGUGGGGAAUAUUGGGCAAUGGGGGGAACCCUGACCCAGCAACGCCGCGUGAAGGAAGAAGGCCUCGGUUGUAACUCUUGUACAGGGAGGAAGGAAGUGACGGUACCCGUGAGAACAAGACUCCGGCUAACUACGUAGCCAGCAGCCGCGGUAACGAUACUCGUAC
rnacentral:rRNA from 1 species